UACGUAGGGACCAAGCGUUGUUCGGAUUUACUGGGCGUAAAGGGCGCGUAGGCGGCAUAUUAAGUCAGCUGUGAAAUCUCCGAGCUUAACCUGGGAAUGGCAUUUGGGACUGCAAGGCUUGAGUGCGGCAGAGGAGACUGGAAUUCCUGGUGUAGCAGUGAAAUGCGUAGAUAUCAGGAGGAAUACCGAUGGCGAAGGCAGGUCUCUGGGCUGACACUGACGCUCAUGCACGAAAGCGUGGGGAGCAAACAGG
rnacentral:rRNA from 1 species